rnacentral:rRNA from 1 species
GUCUACGGCCAUACCACCCUGAACACGCCGGAUCUCAUCUGAUCUCGGAAGCUAAGCAGGGUUGGGCCUGGUUAGUACUUGGAUGGAAGAAAGAGGAAGGAAGAGGAGGGAGCGAGAGAAA